rnacentral:rRNA from 1 species
GACGAACGCUGGCGGCGUGCUUAACACAUGCAAGUCGAACGGAAAGGCCCUGCUUUUGUGGGGUGCUCGAGUGGCGAACGGGUGAGUAACACGUGAGUAACCUGCCCUUGACUUUGGGAUAACUUCAGGAAACUGGGGCUAAUACCGGAUAGGAGCUCCUGCUGCAUGGUGGGGGUUGGAAAGUUUCGGCGGUUGGGGAUGGACUGGCGGCUGAUCAGCUUGUGGGUGGGGUAGUGGCUUACCAAGGCGUUGACGGGUAGCCGGCCUGAGAGGGCGACCAGCCAGGCGGAGACUGAGACAGGGGCCAGACGCGUACGGGAGGCAGCAGUGGGGAAUUGUGGACAAUGGGAGAAAGCCUGAGCCAGCAAUGACGCGUGUGUGAUGAAGGCCUUCGGGGUGGAAAGCACUGUGGGCGGGAACGAAAAGGACUGUGCCAAGACCAAGGUUCGAGGACGGUACCCGCAGAAUAAGCACCGGCUAACUACGUG